UACGAAGGGGGCUAGCGUUGCUCGGAAUCACUGGGCGUAGAGCGCACGUAGGCGGACUCUUAAGUCGGUGGUGAAAUCCUGGAGCUCAACUCCAGAACUGCCUUCGAUACUGAGAGUCUCGAGUCCGGGAGAGGUGAGUGGAACUGCGAGUGUAGAGGUGAAAUUCGUAGAUAUUCGCAAGAACACCAGUGGCGAAGGCGGCUCACUGGCCCGGUACUGACGCUGAGGUGCGAAAGCGUGGGGAGCAAACAGG
rnacentral:rRNA from 1 species